rnacentral:tRNA from 1 species
GCGUCGGUGUUUCAGUGGUAGAAUACUCGACUUCCACGCGGGUGACCCGGGUUCGAUUCCCGGCCGACGCA